GCUGAGGAGAAGAAGGCCAAGGCAGAGGAGGAGGCGAAGGCUAGGAGGAUAGAAGAACAAAGACAAAAAAGGCAGCUAGAGGAGCAAAGGAGUGAGAGGCAGGAAGCAAAGGACAAGGGGGAGAAGGGAGCGGAGAAAGCUGACAGGAAAGGGCUGACUGGAAGGGAGGCACAAGACGACAGACUGCAGACAGCGGUCCCCAAGACACAGGAAAAGGAAGAAGGAAAGGGAGUUAAAGGGCAAGCUCAAAGACAGACAUCCCAAGAUGACAAGCCCGCCUUCAGAAGGGAAGAGAUCAAAGAUGAGAAGAUUAAAAAGGACAAAGAGCCCAAAGAAGAAGUCAAGAACUUCUUGGAUCGAAAGAAAGGAUUUACAGAAGUGAAGGCGCAGAAUGGAGAAUUCAUGACCCACAAACUUA
rnacentral:lncRNA from 1 species